rnacentral:rRNA from 1 species
AUGAACAUCACGCGGAGCAUGCAUAUGCAAACAAAUCUGCUGGACAGCAUAGGCGAUGUCUGGGUGUGUCAAGGUGAGGUAUUGAAGAGCACCGGCAAUACUUCGGUAGAAGGUGGCAUCCGACACAAGCUCACCAGAGGUAGCCGAGACCUUGGGCUUCGUGUCAACAGGCGUGGAGACCGGCUUACAAUUAGACAUAGCAGCGCGGUCAAGAAGCUCCUUGGCAUAUCUCUCUUGAGAGAGAAAGAAACCAGAGGCUGUGCGACGAACGGCGACACCAAGAAAAAAAUGAAGAGACCCGAGAUCCUUCAUCUUGAAUUCAGUGCUGAGAGAAGCGAUGAUCAUCCGAAGAAACGGUGUCGAGGAAGCUGUGACACUAGUGCAGAACCGGGCAAUAGCGCCGGUUCGUAA